CGGGUGAGUAACGCGUGGAUAACCUGCCGUAUGCAGGGGGAUACCAACUGGAAACAGUUGCUAAUACCGCAUAAGCGCACAGCACCGCAUGGUGCAGUGUGAAAAGAUUUAUCGGCAUACGAUGGAUCCGCGUCCGAUUAGCCAGUUGGCGGGGUAGAAGCCCACCAAAGCGACGAUCGGUAGCCGGCCUGAGAGGGCGGACGGCCACAUUGGGACUGAGACACGGCCCAAACUCCUACGGGAGGCAGCAG
rnacentral:rRNA from 1 species